GACAGAGGGUGCGAGCGUUGUCCGGAGUCACUGGGCGUAAAGCGCGCGCAGGCGGCAACCUUAGUGUCGUGUGAAAGCCCCCGGCUCAACCGGGGGAGGCCAUGGCAAACUGGGUCGCUCGAGCUGCGGAGAGGUUCCUCGAAUUGCCGGUGUAGCGGUGAAAUGCGUAGAGAUCGGCAGGAAGACCAAGGGGGAAGCCAGGGGGCUGGCCGCAGGCUGACGCUGAGGCGCGACAGCGUGGGGAGCAAACCGG
rnacentral:rRNA from 1 species